UGGGGAAUAUUGCACAAUGGGCGCAAGCCUGAUGCAGCCAUGCCGCGUGUAUGAAGAAGGCCUUCGGGUUGUAAAGUACUUUCAGCGGGGAGGAAGGCGUUGUGGUUAAUAACCACAGCAAUUGACGUUACCCGCAGAAGAAGCACCGGCUAACUCCGUGCCAGCAGCCGCGGUAAUACGGAGGGUGCAAGCGUUAAUCGGAAUUACUGGGCGUAAAGCGCACGCAGGCGGUCUGUCAAGUCGGAUGUGAAAUCCCCGGGCUCAACCUGGGAACUGCAUCCGAAACUGGCAGGCUUGAGUCUUGUAGAGGGGGGUAGAAUUCCAGGUGUAGCGGUGAAAUGCGUAGAGAUCUGGAGGAAUACCGGUGGCGAAGGCGGCCCCCUGGACAAAGACUGACGCUCAGGUGCGAAAGCGUGGGGAGCAAACA
rnacentral:rRNA from 1 species